rnacentral:rRNA from 1 species
UACGAAGGGGGCUAGCGUUGCUCGGAAUCACUGGGCGUAAAGCGCACGUAGGCGGCUUUCUAAGUCAGGGGUGAAAUCCUGGAGCUCAACUCCAGAACUGCCUUUGAUACUGGAGAGCUUGAGUCCGGAAGAGGUGAGUGGAACUCCUAGUGUAGAGGUGGAAUUCGUAGAUAUUAGGAAGAACACCAGUGGCGAAGGCGGCUCACUGGUCCGGUACUGACGCUGAGGUGCGAAAGCGUGGGGAGCAAACAGGG